UACGUAGGGGGCAAGCGUUGUCCGGAUUUAUUGGGCGUAAAGAGCGUGUAGGCGGCCUUACAGGUCAGCUGUGAAAACUCGAGGCUCAACCUCGAGACGUCGGUUGAAACCGUAAGGCUAGAGUCCGGAAGAGGGAAGCGGAAUUUCCGGUGUAGCGGUGAAAUGCGUAGAUAUCGGAAGGAACAUCAGUGGCGAAAGCGGCUUCCUGGUCCAGCACCGACGUUCAGGCACGAAAGCGUGGGGAGCAAACAGG
rnacentral:rRNA from 1 species